CAACUCGACUACAUGAAGCUGGAAUCGCUAGUAAUCGCGGAUCAGAAUGCCGCGGUGAAUACGUUCCCGGGUCUUGUACACACCGCCCGUCACACCAUGGGAGUCGGAAAUGCCCGAAGUCUGUGACCGAACCGAAAGGAAGGAGCAGCCGAAGGCAGGUCGGAUGACUGGGGUGAAGUCGUAACAAGGUAGC
rnacentral:rRNA from 1 species